UACGUAGGGGGCAAGCGUUGUCCGGAAUCAUUGGGCGUAAAGCGCGUGUAGGCGGUCCGGUAAGUCCGCUGUGAAAGUCGGGGGCUUAACCCUCGGAUGCCGGUGGAUACUGUCGGGCUUGAGUACGGAAGAGGCGAGUGGAAUUCCUGGUGUAGCGGUGAAAUGCGCAGAUAUCAGGAGGAACACCAAUUGCGAAGGCAGCUCGCUGGGACGUUACUGACGUUGAGACGCGAAAGCGUGGGGAGCAAACAGG
rnacentral:rRNA from 1 species